ensembl:lncRNA
AACUUACCUCUAAUUUAACAUCUUGUUGCUAGUGUUACUAAUUUACUUUACAGCUGUUAGAUUAGAGGCAAAACAGGAAGUGGAGAAACAGCGUUAUAAGAUGUUUUAAUGCUGGGUGAUGAUUUGUGGUGUCAGGUGAUUUGUUGACUACUGUUUGAAUGUAUUUGCGUCAUGUAAUGUAGUGCUGUUAUGGAUUAGGUCCAGAAAAAUGUCACUAAGUGGCGUUGGAGAGUUCCUAGUAGUUCUUUCCCUACUUGCCCUUUAAUAAAACCACUGGCUUUGUCUGUCGUACUUUCUGCUCAUUGACAUUCAAAACAGACAUCAGUAAAAUUGGGGUGGGGAAACAAUUUCUUAGGUAAUGUCUGCUACCAUGGAAAACCCCAUGUUCUACUUGAUCUUUAUUUAUUUAAAGUGCCAGCUGUCACUGUUUGGCUUUUUUUAGCCCAUGAUAUUUCUAAGGUUUCUUUGAAUUACUUUUUUUUUCUUUUUUUUUUGCUUUUUGUGACCUGAUUUGCCUCAGACAAACCUGUUUUGAAGCCCAUGUCAAAAGCCAACACACAGGAAGCUGGAGAAACAAACAACAUGCUUCCUGAGGGUGACCUGGUUUAUAGAUUUCCCAUGUUGAUGGCAGACAUAUGGUUCAGAACCAAUAAAAAAGUGAGACACGGAAGAUCACUGGAACCGUAGAUGGAUUGAUGGGUUGCCGAGUAUCAUGAUCGGCACAAAUCUUGUCAUUCAGUGAUCUUUACAUGACUCAGCUGCUAAACGUCUGUCCCCUAAUGAAGUCUUUAAACUAUAUUACAUGCACCAAGUGGAAUGCCAUUGCAUCCUGUCUGUGGUUUUGACUUGUUUUCAUUUACUUUACACCUGAAAGCUCAGCGGGUUUUCAAUUUAAAAUGAGGAAUUUUCCAAGAGUCAGGUUUAACCUUUGACUCACCAACCUAAUGAUCGAAACCCAAGACUGAACCAAGAGAAAACACACAAGUCAGUUCAGUUAGAUUCCAGUUCAUGAACUAAACGUGAGUGUUAGUGCCUCUUUACUGAAUUAGAGGCCUGAAGGCAAAGGUGCAUUCUUAGGUUGCUUUGUGGGCUUUGGUGAAUAAAUUAUCGCUGCUGAUGUAGAACCAAGCACAAC